CCCAACUAUCCCUAUUAAUCAUUACGGUGGUCCUAGAAACCAACAAAAUAGGACGGAUGAUUCUAUUUUAUUAUUCCAUGCUAAUGUAUUCAAGCAAAAUGCCUGCUUUAAACACUCUAAUUUUUUCAAAGUAAAGGUCCUGGUUCCCCGCGGCACCCAAUUAAGGACAUCGCGGUUCUCCAGAAGGUGAGAAAUUGACUACACCAGUUCAUACCCCUUAAGGCACGACCGAUGUGUCAAUCCCGAAAUUCAACUACGAGCUUUUUAACUGCAACAACUUUAAUAUACGCUAUUGGAGCUGGAAUUACCGCGGCUGCUGGCACCAGACUUGCCCUCCAA
rnacentral:misc_RNA from 1 species